GGUCACCCACACUGGGACUGAGACACUGCCCAGACUCCUACGGGAGGCUGCAGUCGAGAAUCAUCCGCAAUGGGCGAAAGCCUGACGGUGCAAUGCCGCGUGGGGGAUGAAGGCCUUCGGGUCGUAAACCCCUGUCAGAAGGGACGAAGCAAGUGACGGUACCUUCAGAGGAAGCCACGGCUAACUACGUGCCAGCAGCCGCGGUAACACGUAGGUGGCGAGCGUUAUUCGGAUUUACUGGGCGUAAAGGGUCCGCAGGGGGUUUGCCAAAGUCCGGUGUGAAAGUCCAGGGCUCAACCAUGGAACUGCGCCGGAUACCUGGUGAACUGAAGUGCGCGAAGGGCAAGGCGGAAUUCCUGGUGUAACGGAGGAAUGCGUGGAUAUCAGGAAGAACACCGAACAGCGAAAGCAGCCUGCUGGCGCGCCACUGACCCUCAUGAACGAAAGCGUGGGUAGCGAACAGGAUUAGAUACCCUGGUAGUCCACGCCGUAAACGGUGCAGACCCGAUGCGGUGGGCAGCCCCCUCCGUGUCCAAGCCAACGCGUUAAGUCUGCCGCCUGGGUACUACGGUCGCAAGGCUAAAACUCAAAGGAAUUGACGGGGGCCCGCACAAGCGGUGGAGCAUGUGGCUCAAUUCGAGGCAACGCGAAGAACCUUACCCGGACUUGACAUCGAGCGA
rnacentral:rRNA from 1 species